rnacentral:rRNA from 1 species
UACGGGGGGGGUAAGCGUUGUUCGGAAUUACUGGGCGUAAAGGGCUCGUAGGCGGCCAACUAAGUCGGACGUGAAAUCCCCAGGCUCAACCUGGGAACUGCGUCCGAUACUGGAUGGCUUGAAUUCGGGAGAGGGAUGCAGAAUUCCAGGUGUAGCGGUGAAAUGCGUAGAUAUUGGGAGGAACACCAGUGGCGAAGGCGACUUUCUGGACUGUAACUGACGCUGAGGCGCGAAAGCGUGGGGAGCAAACAGG